UAAUGGCCUCUGCUGUGACUAAGUGAAGCAGCCAUUGACAUGUGAUUCACCCAUUUGACUCCAAAUUCCAUCUUGUUACCUUUUUAAUUUUCCACAAAAUAGUUCAACAUCAGUGUAGACAUGGUCAUAGUUGCAAAAAGAUCUAUACCACUCAUUGAGGGGUUUUUUAUGAUUGGAGUUUAAAUUAGUAUCAGAAUCUCAGUGUGUGCACUGUCAACAAAACUGAAUUAUAGACCAGGCCUAAUUUACUGUUUAGUAGCCUAUAGUGCUUCAUCAUAUAAACAGGGAUAGUCUUUACGCUUAGAUGUGUAAUGUUGCUAUUGAGUAUAUGUGUAUGUUAGUCAGAUGAGCCCACUUUAUUGAAUGGGUCAGGUCAUAAAUAUCCUGGCACCAUCAUUAUUUACUGUGGCCUCAACUCUUGUUACAUGCACGUUUUACUAAAGUGAUUUUCAGUCUUUUUCCAGCUCACUGAUUAAAGCUAGUGACUAGUAGGGGGCUAAGACUAGUUCAUUGCAGGACAGUAUGAGAAACAUGUGUAUCAUUACAGAAAUUCUGCUUUUUCUCUCCUCAUCCCACCUCUCCUCAGUUAUAGAUGUUAUGUUUCUCUAAGGCACACGUUUAGGGUUUGUCUACACUGCAGCAUUUAAUGAAGAUGCUACUUACAGUGGUUGGAAAGCUUCUUCUAUUGGCAUAGGUCCACCACCUUCCCCAAGAGGCUGUAGCUACAUGAUAGGAGAUACCUUCUUAUUGACAUACCCCUGGCUCCAGCUGAGGGGCUGAGAUAAUAAACUACUGCUCAGGAGUGUGGCCUUAUUUACUACACUCCUCAGUCACAUUUAUACUGCUUUAAGUUUUUAGUGUAGACCACAGUUUACUCAUCUUGAGUGCUUUAUGUCCAAAGACCUGAUGGGAAUGGUUCAAAGGCAGCAUUGGUAUGCAAUGGCCAACAGCAGGGCUUGGCUCAUUUAUGUGCUACUAAACUUCUACCCUUCCCAGUCAAAUUGUUACAGACUAGGGGAGAGUGCCACUAAUUAUACAAGUAAAGCUUCAGGCACAAGAAGCUUGCCAGAUGAUACUUUUAAAGGCACAGCAUAAGAAGGCCCAGCACUUGAAAGUGGCUUGGACUACAGACCUGUACUCUCGAGUGACCCUUGAUGAGCCAAUUGUCAAGGUAUGGGUAAAUUUGAACACCCUGACGUCUGAGGAAGGCUGUGACCACUGCCAUACAUUUUGUAAACAAUCUUGGGGCUGUUGCUAAGCCGAAUGGGAGCACUGUAAAUUGGUAGUGAGUCUACCCAACAGGUUUCAGAGUAGCAGCCGUGUUAGUCUGUAUUUGCAAAAAGAAAAGGAGUACUUGUGGCAUCUUAGAGACUAACAAAUUUAUUAGAGCAUAAGCUUUCGUGAGCUACAGCUCACUUCAUGUGACAACGAAUCAUAGGAGCCUUCUGUUCCCACGGAAAAUAGAAAUAUGGAAGUUCACAUUCUUUAAGUCAAGACGUACAAGUCUCCAGGAUCCAAGGAGAGGAUGAUGGAGGCCAAAGAGACCAUGUGGAACUUUAUUGAGGCCUUGCAGGGCCAAGAUUGGUUGUAGACCCUCUUUAGCCUUCAGUAUCAGAAAGUAGCAGGAGUAAAACCCUUUCCCUCUCAGUUCUUUUGAAAACUUCCUCUAUGGCCCCCCACCCUCAGCAGGGCGUGCACCUCCUGGGUGAGCAGUUACUUGUGAGAAGGGUCCCUGAAAAGGGACAGGGAAGGGUGAGGAGAAGGAGGGAUGGAAAAAAAUUGGAGGGUGUACCUCACUGUUAUGGUGCUGAGCACUCACUGAUCCAAUGUUAUAGUGUCCCAAGCAGGGAGGUAGGGAAAGAGACCAUUUGAAAAUAAAAGGGUGCUUGGAUUCUGGUUGUAGACCGGGAGGGUGCCCCAAAGGGCGACCUCCAAGUGUCUGCUUAUUUCCAGGUGUGUACCGGGUAGAGCCCGACGGGGUGAAUGCGGCCAGCGCUUCUUUCAGUAGGGCUCUGAUCUGGUCUGGCCUACAAAUCUCUGAGGCUGCUGGGUUUAAAUUGCUUCCUUGCAGGCACAGGAGUAUAAAGGCCCAGGGAGUGUAAUGUAGCCCUAAGGUCUUUCAGACCAUGCAACCAUCUGUUCAGGAAACAUGUUCAAUCCAUCAAAAGGGAGAUCCUGAAUGGACUGCUGGACCUCUGUGGAAAGGCCUGAGGACUGCAGCCACGAUACCCAGCUUGUUGAAACGGCCAACACCAUCGUUCUGGCUGCAGAGUUGGCUGCGUCAGAGGCCUCCUGGAGGGAAGCCCUCACCUCAGUCUUGCCCUCUUCAUGUAUGGCCAGAAACUCCUGCCUGGAUUCCUGUGGCAAUGAGUCCUCAAACUUCGCCAUGGAUUGCCACACAUUGAAAUCAUACCUCCUGAGCGGGGCUUGGUGGUUUGCGACACGCAACUGGAGGCUGGCAGUUGAAUAAACUGUUCUGCGGAAAAGAUUGAGCCUCUUUGUGUCUUUAUUUUUGGGGGUCUAACUGGUUUGACCCUUUCUAUCUUGCUCAUUGGCAGCAGAUACAACCAAGGAACUCGGGGAGGGGUGGAAAUAAAGAUACUCAAACCCCUUAGCAGGGACAUAGUAUUUUCUCUCUGCAUGCUUUGCAAGAGGGGACAGAGAGGCUAGGGUCUGCCAUAAGACCUUAACCAGUUUUAUGACACCCUCAUGGACAGGGUGUCUGUACCUCAAUAGGGCCACUACAGCCAAGAUGCCAAAUAUGGUGUCAGCUGGUUCCAAUACUCCUCUGCUUCCAGUCCAAGUUUAGUGGCCACAUGCUUAAGUAGUUCUUGGCACCGCGUGUGAUGGUCCCAUCACUGCCUCAUUGGGUGAGGAAGAUAAGGCUAGAACCAGGGAAAGGACCGACUCCACUUCCCUGGCUGGGGCAGCCUCAUCCAAAGCUGGUGGAGGCUCCUGAGUACCCUGAAGUGACCCCUUGUCUGAGGCAGGCAGGAGACCGUUGCCAACCAUCUUUCUGAUGCCACAGACACCGAGCGCCGUACCUGGGACUCUGCAAUGGUGGGAGACUGC